rnacentral:rRNA from 1 species
ACGCGCCUACGGGACGCAGCAGUGAGGAAUAUUGGUCAAUGGCCGCAGGGCUGAACCAGCCAAGUCGCGUGAGGGAUGACGGUCCCAUGGAUUGUAAACCUCUUUUGUCAGGGAGCAAAGGGCGCCACGUGUGGCGCUUUGCGAGUACCUGAAGAAAAAGCAUCGGCUAACUCCGUGCCAGCAGCCGCGGUAAUACGGAGGAUGCGAGCGUUAUCCGGAUUUAUUGGGUUUAAAGGGUGCGCAGGCGGAAUGUCAAGUCAGCGGUAAAAUUUCGGGGCUCAACCCCGUCGUUCCGUUGAAACUGG